GGUUAAGCGACUAAGCGUACACGGUGGAUGCCCUGGCAGUCAGAGGCGAUGAAGGACGUGCUAAUCUGCGAUAAGCGUCGGUAAGGUGAUAUGAACCGUUAUAACCGGCGAUUUCCGAAUGGGGAAACCCAGUGUGUUUCGACACACUAUCAUUAACUGAAUCCAUAGGUUAAUGAGGCGAACCGGGGGAACUGAAACAUCUAAGUACCCCGAGGAAAAGAAAUCAACCGAGAUUCCCCCAGUAGCGGCGAGCGAACGGGGAGGAGCCCAGAGCCUGAAUCAGUGUGUGUGUUAGUGGAAGCGUCUGGAAAGGCGCGCGAUACAGGGUGACAGCCCCGUACACAAAAAUGCACAUACUGUGAGCUCGAUGAGUAGGGCGGGACACGUGGUAUCCUGUCUGAAUAUGGGGGACCAUCCUCCAAGGCUAAAUACUCCUGACUGACCGAUAGUGAACCAGUACCGUGAGGGAAAGGCGAAAAGAACCCCGGCGAGGGGAGUGAAAAAGAACCUGAAACCGUGUACGUACAAGCAGUGGGAGCACAGAGCAAUCUGUGUGACUGCGUACCUUUUGUAUAAUGGGUCAGCGACUUAUAUUCUGUAGCAAGGUUAACCGAAUAGGGGAGCCGAAGGGAAACCGAGUCUUAACUGGGCGUUAAGUUGCAGGGUAUAGACCCGAAACCCGGUGAUCUAGCCAUGGGCAGGUUGAAGGUUGGGUAACACUAACUGGAGGACCGAACCGACUAAUGUUGAAAAAUUAGCGGAUGACUUGUGGCUGGGGGUGAAAGGCCAAUCAAACCGGGAGAUAGCUGGUUCUCCCCGAAAGCUAUUUAGGUAGCGCCUCGUGAAUUCAUCUCCGGGGGUAGAGCACUGUUUCGGCAAGGGGGUCAUCCCGACUUACCAACCCGAUGCAAACUGCGAAUACCGGAGAAUGUUAUCACGGGAGACACACGGCGGGUGCUAACGUCCGUCGUGAAGAGGGAAACAACCCAGACCGCCAGCUAAGGUCCCAAAGUCAUGGUUAAGUGGGAAACGAUGUGGGAAGGCCCAGACAGCCAGGAUGUUGGCUUAGAAGCAGCCAUCAUUUAAAGAAAGCGUAAUAGCUCACUGGUCGAGUCGGCCUGCGCGGAAGAUGUAACGGGGCUAAACCAUGCACCGAAGCUGCGGCAGCGACACUGUGUGUUGUUGGGUAGGGGAGCGUUCUGUAAGCCUGUGAAGGUGUGCUGUGAGGCAUGCUGGAGGUAUCAGAAGUGCGAAUGCUGACAUAAGUAACGAUAAAGCGGGUGAAAAGCCCGCUCGCCGGAAGACCAAGGGUUCCUGUCCAACGUUAAUCGGGGCAGGGUGAGUCGACCCCUAAGGCGAGGCCGAAAGGCGUAGUCGAUGGGAAACAGGUUAAUAUUCCUGUACUUGGUGUUACUGCGAAGGGGGGACGGAGAAGGCUAUGUUGGCCGGGCGACGGUUGUCCCGGUUUAAGCGUGUAGGCUGGUUUUCCAGGCAAAUCCGGAAAAUCAAGGCUGAGGCGUGAUGACGAGGCACUACGGUGCUGAAGCAACAAAUGCCCUGCUUCCAGGAAAAGCCUCUAAGCAUCAGGUAACAUCAAAUCGUACCCCAAACCGACACAGGUGGUCAGGUAGAGAAUACCAAGGCGCUUGAGAGAACUCGGGUGAAGGAACUAGGCAAAAUGGUGCCGUAACUUCGGGAGAAGGCACGCUGAUAUGUAGGUGAAGUCCCUCGCGGAUGGAGCUGAAAUCAGUCGAAGAUACCAGCUGGCUGCAACUGUUUAUUAAAAACACAGCACUGUGCAAACACGAAAGUGGACGUAUACGGUGUGACGCCUGCCCGGUGCCGGAAGGUUAAUUGAUGGGGUCAGCGCAAGCGAAGCUCUUGAUCGAAGCCCCGGUAAACGGCGGCCGUAACUAUAACGGUCCUAAGGUAGCGAAAUUCCUUGUCGGGUAAGUUCCGACCUGCACGAAUGGCGUAAUGAUGGCCAGGCUGUCUCCACCCGAGACUCAGUGAAAUUGAACUCGCUGUGAAGAUGCAGUGUACCCGCGGCAAGACGGAAAGACCCCGUGAACCUUUACUAUAGCUUGACACUGAACAUUGAGCCUUGAUGUGUAGGAUAGGUGGGAGGCUUUGAAGUGUGGACGCCAGUCUGCAUGGAGCCGACCUUGAAAUACCACCCUUUAAUGUUUGAUGUUCUAACGUGGACCCGUGAUCCGGGUUGCGGACAGUGUCUGGUGGGUAGUUUGACUGGGGCGGUCUCCUCCUAAAGAGUAACGGAGGAGCACGAAGGUUGGCUAAUCCUGGUCGGACAUCAGGAGGUUAGUGCAAUGGCAUAAGCCAGCUUGACUGCGAGCGUGACGGCGCGAGCAGGUGCGAAAGCAGGUCAUAGUGAUCCGGUGGUUCUGAAUGGAAGGGCCAUCGCUCAACGGAUAAAAGGUACUCCGGGGAUAACAGGCUGAUACCGCCCAAGAGUUCAUAUCGACGGCGGUGUUUGGCACCUCGAUGUCGGCUCAUCACAUCCUGGGGCUGAAGUAGGUCCCAAGGGUAUGGCUGUUCGCCAUUUAAAGUGGUACGCGAGCUGGGUUUAGAACGUCGUGAGACAGUUCGGUCCCUAUCUGCCGUGGGCGCUGGAGAACUGAGGGGGGCUGCUCCUAGUACGAGAGGACCGGAGUGGACGCAUCACUGGUGUUCGGGUUGUCAUGCCAAUGGCACUGCCCGGUAGCUAAAUGCGGAAGAGAUAAGUGCUGAAAGCAUCUAAGCACGAAACUUGCCCCGAGAUGAGUUCUCCCUGACCCUUUAAGGGUCCUGAAGGAACGUUGAAGACGACGACGUUGAUAGGCCGGGUGUGUAAGCGCAGCGAUGCGUUGAGCUAACCGGUACUAAUGAACCGUGAGGCUUAACCUU
rnacentral:rRNA from 1 species